UACGAAGGGGGCUAGCGUUGCUCGGAAUUACUGGGCGUAAAGGGCGCGUAGGCGGUCAUUUUAGUCAGACGUGAAAUCCCCGGGCUUAACCUGGGAAUGGCGUUUGAAACUACGGAGCUGGAGUGUGGCAGAGGGGAGGUAGAAUUCCACGUGUAGCGGUGAAAUGCGUAGAUAUGUGGAGGAAUACCGAUGGCGAAGGCAGCCUCCUGGGCCGAACACUGACGCUCAUGCACGAAAGCGUGGGGAGCAAACAGG
rnacentral:rRNA from 1 species